AACGAACGCUGGCGGCAUGCCUAACACAUGCAAGUCGAAUGAGACCUUCGGGUCUAGUGGCGCACGGGUGCGUAACGCGUGGGAACCUGCCCUUAGGUUCGGAAUAACUCCCCGAAAGGGGUGCUAAUACCGGAUAAUGUCUUCGGACCAAAGAUUUAUCGCCUUUGGAUGGGCCCGGGUUGGAUUAGCUAGUUGGUAGGGUAAAAGCCUACCAAGGCGACGAUCCAUAGCUGGUCUGAGAGGAUGAUCAGCCACACUGGGACUGAGACACGGCCCAGACUCCUACGGGAGGCAGCAGUGGGGAAUAUUGGACAAUGGGCGAAAGCCUGAUACAGCAAUGCCGCGUGAGUGAUGAAGGCCUUAGGGUUGUAAAGCUCUUUUACCCGGGAUGAUAAUGACAGUACCGGGAGAAUAAGCUCCGGCUAACUCCGUG
rnacentral:rRNA from 1 species